UACAGAGGCUGCAGGCGUUAUUCGGAUUCACUGGGCGUAAAGGGUGCGCAGGCGGCCGUGUGUGUGAGGCGUGAAAGCCCGGAGCUCAACUCCGGAAUUGCACCUCAAACUACACGGCUAGAGCAUUGGAGAGGGUAGCGGAAUUCACGGUGUAGCAGUGAAAUGCGUAGAUAUCGUGAGGAACACCAGAGGCGAAGGCGGAUACCUGGACAAUUGCUGACGCUCAGGCACGAAAGCGUGGGGAGCAAAAGGG
rnacentral:rRNA from 1 species